rnacentral:rRNA from 1 species
AGAGUUUGAUCAUGGCUCAGGAUGAACGCUGGCGGCGUGCUUAAUACAUGCAAGUCGAGCGAGGACCACUUGGUGGCAACACCGGGUGGCUCCUAGCGGCGAACGGGUGAGUAACACGUGGGCAACCUGCCCCCGACUCUGGGAUAAGCCCGGGAAACUGGGUCUAAUACCGGAUACGAGCCUCCUCCGCAUGGGGGAGGUUGGAAAGGGUCUCCGGUCGGGGAUGGGCCCGCGGCCUAUCAGCUUGUUGGUGGGGUAACGGCCCACCAAGGCGACGACGGGUAGCCGGCCUGAGAGGGUGAACGGCCACACUGGGACUGAGACACGGCCCAGACUCCUACGGGAGGCAGCAGUAGGGAAUCUUGCGCAAUGGGCGAAAGCCUGACGCAGCGACGCCGCGUGCGGGACGAAGGCCCUCGGGUUGUAAACCGCUUUCAGCAGGGACGAAGCGAAAGUGACGGUACCUGCAGAAGAAGCACCGGCCAACUACGUGCCAGCAGCGGCGGUAAUAC